rnacentral:rRNA from 1 species
UACGUAGGGGGCAAGCGUUGUCCGGAUUUAUUGGGCGUAAAGAGCGUGUAGGCGGCCAAACAGGUCAGCUGUGAAAACUCGAGGCUCAACCUCGAGACGUCGGUUGAAACCGUUUGGCUAGAGUCCGGAAGAGGAGAGUGGAAUCCCCGGUGUAGCGGUGAAAUGCGCAGAUAUCGGGAAGAACACCCGUGGCGAAGGCGGCUCUCUGGGACGGUACUGACGCUGAGACGCGAAAGCGUGGGGAGCGAACAGG